rnacentral:rRNA from 1 species
AACGAACGCUGGCGGCAGGCCUAACACAUGCAAGUCGAGCGCUCACCUUCGGGUGGGAGCGGCGCACGGGUGAGUAACACGUGGGAACCUACCUUGAAGUACGGAAUAACUGAGGGAAACUUCAGCUAAUACCGUAUACGCCCUACGGGGGAAAGAUUUAUCGCUUCAAGACGGGCUCGCGUUGGAUUAGCCAGUUGGUGAGGUAAUGGCUCACCAAGGCAACGAUCCAUAGCUGAUUUGAGAGAAUGAUCAGCCACACUGGGACUGAGACAUGGCCCAGACUCCUACGGGAGGCAGCAGUGGGGAAUGUUGGACAAUGGGCGCAAGCCUGAUCCAGCCAUGCCGCGCGAGUGAUGAAGGCCUUCGGGUUGUAAAGCUCUUUCAGAUGGGACGAUGAUGACGGUACCAUCAGAAGAAGCCCCGGCUAACUUCGUGCCAGCAGCCGCCGCGG